UCUAACCAGACAGAUCAGCUCAGGCUACGGUGCAGCGAUGAAGGACUGUCAAGAGGUCCUGGUGCGUCCAAGCCAUUCGCUCGCAGGUGUAGAUUAAAGGGAGACGUCGGUGUCUUGUCUGCACUGAUCUGUAGCGUGUUGGUUCACGAGACGUUCCCCUGCACGUCACUGGCCCCCAAUCACAGGUGUCUCGGCGUUUAGGUUGGAAUUCACCUGAGGUGCGAAACUGCCUGAGACCUAAGGAAGGUCGUUUCUAUCACAUGGCAUUUACAGGGCCUUUGCCCCACAAGCGGGGUCGAGGCCUCAGAAUUGCCAGUGAAGCAGCCCGUUAACUCCAAAGCAGGAGCCGUCAAGGGAGAGUGGAAAUGCCCAGCCUGCCUGCGCUGGCUGCUCACCCGCGCCCACGUGGGCGAAGGGGCCCGGCAGCUUGUUGCUCGCCUGGGAAGAAGAUCCAUAAACACGGGGCUAAGGGAAAGAUCCUGCAUCUCAGGCCUGAGGAAUUCGGAGCCACAGGACAGAGGCCCCAGGACCCUUUUGGGCCACUCUGAGAGACGCACGGAAAACGAGCAGAGCAUGCAGCCCGGCUGCCACUGGACCGACAAACCCGGAGUCGCUGUGAUGUACGGUACCUGUGAGAGCCUGGCAGUAACUCGUCUGUGUGACGAAGCGGGACUGUUCUUAAUGUUUCCUCUGAAUAGUGUGGGGGUGCCUCACUUUCCCCUGGGCAGUUCUUAAGUAUCUAGGGGGUGGGGUAAGGGUGUAUGAUCGUUGCAGAGCCCUAGAGGGCAGGUGUGUGCAGGAGUCUGGACACAGAGAAUGGCCGACACCCUGUUUCCUGGCCACUGAUGGCCUGGGCCCUUCCCCCCCCUGCAAGGUGAGAGCUAAAGGGUUGGAGAACAAAGGAAUCUGGUGACCUCCUGGCCCGGGAAAGGGACAAAGCCCAGAGGAGGAGGGGCUGGAGGGAGUUUUCAGUUUGGGGCUGGCUGGGACAUGGAGUGAAGGGCAGACGUGGUUGUCUGGCUCACUGCCCCCCAAAAUGGACCCAGCUGAGGGGUCCUGUUCUCUGCACCUACAAGCUCUGUGUUAGACCAUGUUCCUGUCGUCUAAUAAACCUCUGUUUUACUGGC